GUUCAAAUCUCAGUCGGGGGGUUGACUUGCCAUGUAAUGCCGUUAUCAGCUUCAGCCACCAUCAUCCCACCGCUGGAUAAACACCUCACCAGCUGUCGCCAUCCCGUUCGUUCAAAUGUCGAUAUCGUGACGACCACUGCAGGAGGUCGCUUGCGGCUGUGCGAAUACGAGGCCGACAUCCGGAAUCAGCGGCUCCGUGGAGGCGCGCGGUGAGAACGUGGCACAGCGCCGCCUCUUGCUCAGCUCAAGCACCAACGGCCACUUGCGCAACCACUUGGAAGCUCGCCUCAAUUUUGACUCCCGUAUACAAACGCAUCCACUGCUGAAGGCAUUCCCAAGCCGUCGCCAUCUUCGGGUCUUGCGAUGACCACGAUCCAUCUCGCUCCAUCUCCGUGGUGGACGGACUCUUUUCUGGGACCUCUCGAGAGCGACGCGUCCCGUCCAGUUGAUGCGCUGAUGGAAGCGUUCAUCUCUGAGACUAUGACUGUCAUCCCAGCAAAUACUGCGUCCAAUUUCCACCGAUUGAGAGGUGCUUAUCCCAGGCCUGGAAGAGUACUUCACUGGGUCAAAUGUCCACGCCGCGACGCCGCAACGCGCUCAAGGAACCGACUCUGCCCGAUUGCUUUGUUCGCUUGCGAUGGCUGCACGGUCGCUAAUUUGCACGGCAGCACAAAGUGGCUGUGCCUCCUGGCCUUCACGCUGCCUUCAGGUGACCCAAUCACUGACUGUGGGCCUACGACAGGGCAACCGG